AUCGCAGGUGUGGUUGCGGAUACGGCUUGCCCGGAGCCGCUGCCACCUAAGAGGGAAUGGAGUCGAAAGCUCCAGCUGCCCCCGCAACUGUAACCGGGUAGCGGACCGCCCGAAUUGCCACUGUGCCCAGCUUGUCGCGGCACGGGAAGGUGGGCGGAACCGUGCUGAUCCGGGAGCCAGGAGACCUGCCCGCGAUGCGUCGUUCGA
rnacentral:ncRNA from 2 species